GAUGAACGCUGGCGGCGUGCUUAACACAUGCAAGUCGAACGGGAAACCUUUUAUUGAAGCUUCGGCAGAUUUAGCUGGUUUCUAGUGGCGGACGGGUGAGUAACGCGUGGGUAACCUGCCUUAUACAGGGGGAUAACAACCAGAAAUGGUUGCUAAUACCGCAUAAGCGCACAGGACCGCAUGGUCCGGUGUGAAAAACUCCGGUGGUAUAAGAUGGACCCACGUUGGAUUAGCUAGUUGGCAGGGUAACGGCCUACCAAGGCGACGAUCCAUAGCCGGCCUGAGAGGGUGAACGGCCACAUUGGGACUGAGACACGGCCCAGACUCCUACGGGAGGCAGCAGUGGGGAAUAUUGCACAAUGGGGGAAACCCUGAUGCAGCGACGCCGCGUGAAGGAAGAAGUAUCUCGGUAUGUAAACUUCUAUCAGCAGGGAAGAUAGUGACGGUACCUGACGAAGAAGCCCCGGCUAACUACGUG
rnacentral:rRNA from 1 species